AGGUCGUGAUGUGAACACUUGCACAAUAAGUCUUUGUAUAUCUCCCACGCCUCAUAUAAUGAUUCACCCUCAAGUUGGGAAAAAGGUAGUAAUAUCAUUCCUUAAUUU